GGGUUGUGAGGUUAAGCGAAUAAGCGUACACGGUGGAUGCCUAGGCAAUCAGAGGCGAUGAAGGACGUGCUAAUCUGCGAAAAGCGUCGGUAAGGUGAUAUGAACCGUUAUACCCGACGAUAUCCGAAUGGGGAAACCCAGUAUCCAAUGGAUACUAUCAUUAACUGAAUCCAUAGGUUAAUGAGGCGAACCGGGAGAACUGAAACAUCUCAGUACCCCGAGGAAAAGAAAUCAACCGAGAUUCCCCUAGUAGCGGCGAGCGAACGGGGAGCAGCCCAGAGUCUUAAUCAAUAGCAGUGUCAGGAGAACGGUCUGGAAAGUCCGGCAGUAAAGGGUGAUAGCCCCGUAUCUGAAGAUGCUGUUAUUGUGAACUCGACGAGUAGGGCGGGACACGUGUUAUCCUGUCUGAAUAUGGGGGGACCAUCCUCCAAGGCUAAAUACUCCUGAUUGACCGAUAGUGAACCAGUACCGUGAGGGAAAGGCGAAAAGAACCCCGGCGAGGGGAGUGAAAAAGAACCUGAAACCGUGUACGUACAAGCAGUAGGAGCCUCUUUAUGGGGUGACUGCGUACCUUUUGUAUAAUGGGUCAGCGACUUAUAUUCUGUAGCAAGGUUAACCGUAUAGGGGAGCCGUAGGGAAACCGAGUCUUAACUGGGCGAAUGAGUUGCAGGGUAUAGACCCGAAAC
rnacentral:rRNA from 1 species